GGGCUGAAGCAGGGGAGGAGUUCUCGUUGUCCUGCAGGACCCGCCGGGCCACGGUCAGGUAGGAAGGGGCACUGCCCAUCCCCCCAGGACUCGGGGGCUGACCCGGAGCAGGGCGGCGGAAGUCGUCCAGGGCCCAGAUGGCCCCAGAAGGUGGCGUGGAACAGAGGAAGGCAAACCCUGUUGGGAGCGGAGACGAACUCAGAUUCCGGCUCUGGUAGAAUCUGUGUGGUUUUGUCGGCGGGCGCAGGCCUACAGAAAGCCCUAGAACUUCCUUCCAGGCGGGCGUCUCUUGUUAUUCCUAACAAGCCCCCUUGACCACAGUCCCCUGGUGACUCAGGCGCCUUGGGAUAGUUUCUAGGGAGGGGCUGACCGCGCACCGAUUACAGGCUGGAAACCCACGCCACCCUCCGGGGCAAGGGGGGCGGUAAGCCAGGGGCGGUUCCGGGUUUCCGGUGGACGGAGUGCUUCGAGGGCAACAUCCUGACCGGCAGAGGCAGGUUUUUUUCUGUGCAUCUAUGCACAAGCACCCAAACGGAGGCCCAACGAGUCACACAAGAUCUGUGGCGGUCUGUUUUUUCAUUUCUCAUUAAGAGCACAGACAUCACAUCAGUAAACCUCCGCCAACACCACGGCCUACAAGGACCUCAGGGUCCCCUGGCAAGGCUGUUCUGGGCAUGGAGACCCGCGGUCCCUCUGGGAGAUGGCACACGAGCCAGCGGACAGUGCGACCACCAGUGCGCUCCUGGACUGGCGCUUUCCAGGUUCCUUCCUGCGGACCGAACGCCUCACCACACAGUGUCUGAACUGACGGGGACUACUGCCCCUGGCUAACCGACCUUCCAUUUUAAUGGUGCUUCAAAACAAAGGAAUAAACAGGAAAAGAACAUAAAGCAAUAAAAGCCGUGUUUUCCAGAGCCUCCCGCGGGUCCACUUACAGAAGGAGCGGUGGGGCGGGCCGUGCCUCCAGGGGCCGCAGCCGCACACGCUAGGGUCAAAGCGCCCGGACAGGCUGCACAUGAUUCAUGAGGUAAGUGCUGUCAGCAUCCAACCGCUCCCGCACCUUA